rnacentral:rRNA from 1 species
UUUCGAAAGGAACGCUAAUACCGCAUACGCCCUACGGGGGAAAGCAGGGGAUCUUUUGACCUUGCACUAAUGGAUGAGCCUAGGCCGGAUUAGCUAGUUGGUAGGGUAAAGGCCUACCAAGGCGACGAUCUGUAGCUGGUCUGAGAGGAUGACCAGCCACACUGGAACUGAGACACGGUCCAGACUCCUACGGGAGGCAGCAGUGGGGAAUAUUGGACAAUGGGCGCAAGCCUGAUCCAGCCAUGCCGCGUGUGUGAAGAAGGCCUUCGGGUUGUAAAGCACUUUAAGCGAGGAGGAAAGUUUAUAGGUUAAUACCCUAUAGAACUGACGUUACUCGCAGAAUAAGCACCGGCUAACUCUGUGCCAGCAGCCGCGGUAAUACAGAGGGUGCAAGCGUUAAUCGGAAUUACUGGGCGUAAAGCGCGCGUAGGCGGUUUGUUAAGUCGGAUGUGAAAUCCCUGGGCUCAACCUAGGCACUGCAUCCGAUACUGGCUAACUAGAGUGUGGGAGAGGAAGGUAGAAUUCCAGGUGUAGCGGUGAAAUGCGUAGAGAUCUGGAGGAAUACCGAUGGCGAAGGCAGCCUUCUGGCCUAACACUGACGCUGAGGUGCGAAAGCAUGGGGAGCAAACAGGAUUAGAUACCCUGGUAGUCCAUGCUGUAAACGAUGUCAACUAGCCGUUGGGGACCUUGAGUCUUUAGUGGCGCAGCUAACGCGAUAAGUUGACCGCCUGGGGAGUACGGUCGCAAGACUAAAACUCAAAUGAAUUGACGGGGGCCCGCACAAGCGGUGGAGCAUGUGGUUUAAUUCGAUGCAACGCGAAGAACCUUACCUGGCCUUGACAUGUCUGGAAUCUUGUGGAGAUACGAGAGUGCCUUCGGGAAUCAGAACACAGGUGCUGCAUGGCUGUCGUCAGCUCGUGUCGUGAGAUGUUGGGUUAAGUCCCGCAACGAGCGCAACCCUUUUCUUUAUUUGCCAGCACGUAAUGGUGGGAACUCUAAAGAUACUGCCGGUGACAAACCGGAGGAAGGCGGGGACGACGUCAAGUCAUCAUGGCCCUUACGGCCAGGGCUACACACGUGCUACAAUGGUUGGUACAGAGGGUUGCUACCCCGCGAGGGCAUGCUAAUCUCACAAAGCCAAUCGUAGUCCAGAUUGGAGUCUGCAACUCGACUCCAUGAAGUCGGAAUCGCUAGUAAUCGCGGAUCAGAAUGUCGCGGUGAAUACGUUCCCGGGCCUUGUACACACCGCCCGUCACACCAUGGGAGUUUGUUGCACCAGAAGUAGUUAGCCUAACCGCAAGGAGGGCGAUUACCACGG